rnacentral:rRNA from 1 species
CCAGACUCCACGGGAGGCAGCAGUGAGGAAUAUUGGUCAAUGGGCGUGAGCCUGAACCAGCCAAGUAGCGUGCAGGAUGACGGCCCUAUGGGUUGUAAACUGCUUUUAUACGGGGAUAAAAGGGUGAACGUGUUCUCCUUUGCAGGUACCGUAUGAAUAAGGACCGGCUAAUUCCGUGCCAGCAGCCGCGGUAAUACGGAAGGUCCUGGCGUUAUCCGGAUUUAUUGGGUUUAAAGGGAGCGCAGGCUGCACUUUAAGCGUGUUGUGAAAUGUACCGGCUCAACCGGUAACGUGCAGCGCGAACUGGGGUGCUUGAGUACGAAGAGGGAAGGCGGAACUCGUGGUGUAGCGGUGAAAUGCUUAGAUAUCACGAGGAACUCCGAUCGCGAAGGCAGCUUUCCGUUUCGGAACUGACGCUGAGGCUCGAAAGUGCGGGUAUCGAACAGGAUUAGAUACCCUGGUAGUCCGCACGGUAAACGAUGGAUGCUCGCUGUUGGAUAUUUUUAUUCAGUGGCUAAGUGAAAACGUUAAGCAUCCCACCUGGGGAGUACGCCGGCAACGGUGAAACUCAAAGGAAUUGACGGGGGCCCGCACAAG